AGCUUUGCGCAGUGGCAGUAUCGUAGCCAAUGAGGUUUAUCCGAGGUACGAUUAUUGCUAAUAGAAUUUUAAAGACAAACAGAGGUUGACCUACUUCCUGUCUCUGUCUCCAAGAUCAGUUACUGUCAAACAGCCUCUCCAUCCUUGCUGGAAUUUCUGACCUUGCAUCAGG
rnacentral:snRNA from 1 species